GGUUUGCUGCCGUCGCGGAAUACUGAUGACGCCCCGGCCCGGUCGCAAAGUUUCCCAAAUUAUCUCUCGGAGCAGGCGAUUAGAGGGGGGCGCGAAUUCCGCCACCGGCAGGUUUCGGCAGUCCUUCCGCGACGCGCGCGCCCGCCGUUGAGGCCUCGCACACAGGCGCUGCACGCCUGUUGCCGGGCUCGCCUCCCGUUCCUCAUUUUUCGUUACAUUCGCGGGAUCCCCAGGCAGCCUUGUGCAUCCGAGGUCACGACGGUAGGCGAAAACUUUGAUGAAUGAGGCCGGAAAGACUGCCGACAAAAGAGCGGCGCCGAGUGGCAUCACUGUUACAUGCAACGUCGAAGGCGCGGUGGCGUCAGUUCCGAAGGACGGAUUAAUAAUGCCGAGUCUGGGAGGAGCCGCGAAGCUUUGUGGUUUAAAUAUUGACUACACAUGUGUUCUCUCAUAAAUGUAGAUUUCGGCAGCACAGAUGCCAAACGAAUUCGAAACAACGACCGCACUUCAUUUUAAGCAUUAGAACACAACCCCGUGAGCUGCAUAUGCAACCGACGAUGGAUUCAACUCGUUGUUGACGAUAAAUGUGUAGCUGUGUUUCAACAGACUUGUCCCAUCAAGGAGUCACAAAGUCUUCGACUUUGCUUCACUUUCAGCAGCACUAGUUCCGCUGCGGUAUGUAUAUAGUUCCUGUCAAGUAUGCCUGCACUAGCGCAGUACGUUUAUUUCAAAAAUGAAUACAAAGGUGCAAGCCUUGUUGUCUGCUCGGCGCAUUUCGCGCGUUUGGCGCAUUGUGUCGCAGCGUCGGCUUUUGUGACGCGCCACAGCGUGCUGUGGGGCGUGUCGUGACGUCUGCUGCUGUCGCCACAUCGUUCUACGGACGCUUUUUGAAUUGAUGCGGUUCCUCGCGGUUCGAGGUCACAAGCGGGUGUCAAAUUGCACCUGUCGCAUUCUUCUGGCUGGACUGGCUUCCUAGGCGUUCAACUGGCGACAUAAGUCUUUUGAGACGCACGCACAUCUCCCGCUCCCGCCCUUGCGGCUUGCGAGAAGACGGCGCGCACUUUCCCACCGUUUCCUCCCUUGCGAGCUCGAGAAGACACCAUCGCAUCAAGGCACCAUCCUUCUCGGCUCACACCAGAUUGUUCGCAGCGGGAAUCCUUCUGGACAAAGUGGACUACAGCCUGGCGAGGCGGAUGGCAGAGCAGCAAGCCGACACAACGGGACGCCAAAUUUGCCUGAUGGAGCAGGGAUUUACGGGCCGCGGUGACACGAGUUUCUGCAAGGCGGCCACCACGCUGCGGAACAUCCAGGGCAGCAUUGGGCUGUUCGGAACCUUGCACGACAUCGUGGACGGGGAGCAGGGACACCACGACUAUGCUGAUGACAUAUUCCUGCAGCCGCAGCUGUCAUCCCAGUCCUUGAUCAUCGCUGCUCGAGGAACCAGCGCAAUGUGGACGCCUCGCACAGGAAACCUCUGCGGAGAAGAAACUCCUGGAACGAGUCCGACAUCCCCGCUCCAACAGGCGUCCUUCUUGCUGCUGUGUCCAACCAUCGAAACCAUGCCAACGACAUCAUCGAGUGCCGUGAAGCAGACCGUCGAAACAACGAAGUGUCUGCAAUUAUUUUAAUUUCACUGGCAGUGCUGGCACAUGCUACAAGACAUGGAACACAGUGCCCCAGCCAGUCAGAGCAAUGGUGGAACAAAGGAUAAUUGAGAAAUAUGUUUAUUUUUCUGCCAUUCGCUUGUGCUAGCAAUGAACCGAUGGUUCGAAAAAUGUUUGCUGUUUUAAUUACCCAUUUAUGCAGCAAAUGAAUAAUUCUGUAAUGAAAACGAUGUCGUACCACUAAUUGGUAUAUUUAAUAAAACCAGAUUUAGGCGUC